GCCAGGCGUGGUGGCGGGCGCCUGUAAUUCCCGCUACUUGGGAGGCUGAGGCAGGAGAAUCGCUUGAACCCAGGAGGCAGAGGUUGCAGUGAGCUGAAAUCGUGCCACUGCACUCCAGCCUGGGUGACAGAGUGAGACUCUGUCUCAA
rnacentral:SRP_RNA from 1 species